AAAGUGGUCCUUUUUAGGACCACUUUUUAUUAAUGUCUAAUAAAUU
rfam:Poecilia formosa, whole genome shotgun sequence.